UACAGAGGGUGCGAGCGUUGUCCGGAAUCACUGGGCGUAAAGGGCGCGUAGGCGGCCUGAUAAGUAGGGGGUGAAAUCCUGUGGCUUAACUGCAGGGCUGCCUCCUAGACUGUUAGGCUCGAGCACGGUAGAGGCAGAUGGAAUUCCCGGUGUAGCGGUGGAAUGCGUAGAGAUCCGGAAGAACACCGGUGGCGAAGGCGGCCUGCUGGGCAGUGGCUGACGCUGAGGCGCGACAGCGUGGGGAGCAAACAGG
rnacentral:rRNA from 1 species